rnacentral:rRNA from 1 species
GAUGAACGCUGGCGGCGUGCUUAACACAUGCAAGUCGAACGGAAAGGCCCAAGCUUGCUUGGGUACUCGAGUGGCGAACGGGUGAGUAACACGUGGGUGAUCUGCCCUGCACUUCGGGAUAAGCCUGGGAAACUGGGUCUAAUACCGGAUAGGACGAUGGUUUGGAUGCCAUUGUGGAAAGUUUUUUCGGUGUGGGAUGAGCUCGCGGCCUAUCAGCUUGUUGGUGGGGUAAUGGCCUACCAAGGCGUCGACGGGUAGCCGGCCUGAGAGGGUGUACGGCCACAUUGGGACUGAGAGACGGCCCAGACUCCUACGGGAGGCAGCAGGGGGGAAUAUUGCACAAUGGGCGCAAGCCUGAUGCAGCGACGCCGCGUGGGGGAGGACGGCCUUCGGGUUGUAAACUCCUUUCGCUAGGGACGAAGCGUUUUUGUGACGGUACCUGGAGAAGAAGCACCGGCUAACUACGG